AGAUUGAACGCUGGCGGCAGGCCUAACACAUGCAAGUCGAGCGGUAGAGAGGUGCUUGCAUCUCUUGAGAGCGGCGGACGGGUGAGUAAUGCCUAGGAAUCUGCCUAGUGGUGGGGGAUAACGUUCGGAAACGGACGCUAAUACCGCAUACGUCCUACGGGAGAAAGCGGGGGACCUUCGGGCCUCGCGCCAUUAGAUGAGCCUAGGUCGGAUUAGCUAGUUGGUGAGGUAAUGGCUCACCAAGGCGACGAUCCGUAACUGGUCUGAGAGGAUGAUCAGUCACACUGGAACUGAGACACGGUCCAGACUCCUACGGGAGGCAGCAGUGGGAAUAUUGGACAAUGGGCGAAAGCCUGAUCCAGCCAUGCCGCGUGUGUGAAGAAGGUCUUCGGAUUGUAAAGCACUUUAAGUUGGAGGAAGGUUGUAACCUAAUACGUUGCAACUUUGACGUUAACCGUACAGAAUAAAGACACCGGCUAACUUCGUGCCAGCAGCCGA
rnacentral:rRNA from 1 species